rnacentral:rRNA from 1 species
CCCUACGGGGUGCAGCAGUUACGAAAACUCACCAAUGCGCGAAAGCGUGAGUGGGCUAUCCCGAGUGCCGUCCGCUGAGGAUGGCUUUUCUCCAGUGUAAGGAGCUGGAGGAAUAAGGAGAGGGCAAGUCUGGUGUCAGCCGCCGCGGUAAUACCAGCUCUCCGAGUGGUAAGGACGUUUAUUGGGCUUAAAGCGUCCGUAGCCGGCUCAGCAAGUCCUCCGUUAAAUCCAGCGAUUCAAUCGUUGGACUGCGGGAGAUACUGUUGGGCUAGGGGACGGGAGAGGCCAACGGUAUUCUCGGAGUAGGGGUGAAAUCCUAUAAUUCCGGGAGGACCACCAGUGGCGAAGGCUGUUGGCUAGAACGAGCUCGACGGUGAGGGACGAAAGCUGGGGGAGCGAACCGGAUUAGAUACCCGGGUAGUCCCAGCUGUAAACGAUGCGGGCUAGGUGUUAGGGUGGCCACGAGCCACUCUAGUGCCGCAGCGAAGGCAUUAAGCCCGCCGCCUGGGGAGUACGGCCGCAAGGCUGAAACUUAAAGGAAUUGGCGGGGGAGCACCACAAGGCGUGAAGCGUGCGGUUUAAUUGGAGUCAACACCGGAAACCUUACCGGGGGCGACAGCAGUUGAAAGCCAGAUUGACGAUCUUGCCAGACAAGCUGAGAGGUAGUGCAUGGCCAA